rnacentral:rRNA from 1 species
AAUCUUCGGCAAUGGGGGCAACCCUGACCGAGCGACGCCGCGUGAGUGAAGAAGUUCCUCGGAUUUUUAAGCUCUGUUGUAAGGGAAGAACUGUACCGGUAGGGAAUGACUGGUACCUCCCGGUACCUCACCAGCUAGCCUCGGCCAAGCACGUCCGAGCAGCCGCGGUAAUACGUAGGUGGCAAGCGUUAUCCGGAAUUAUUGGGCGUAAAGGGAGCGCAGGCGGCUUAUUAAGUCUGAGGUUAAAGUUCGGGGCUCAACCCCGUGAUGCCUUAGAAACUGGUAGGCUAGAGUGCAGGAGAGGUGAGUGGAAUUCCAUGUGUAGCGGUAAAAUGCGUAGAUAUAUGGAGAAACACCAGUGGCGAAGGCGGCUCACUGGCCUGUAACUGACGCUGAGGCUCGAAAGCGUGGGGAGCAAAUA